rnacentral:ncRNA from 1 species
ACCAAAGAGUCUAACACGUGCUCGAGUCCGGGGCUCGUUCGAAAGCUGCCGUGGAGCAAUGAAGGUGAAGGCCCGUCAGGGCCGAGGUGGGAUCCCGAGGCCUCUCCAGUACGCCGAGGGCGCACCACCCGCCCUUCUCGCGCGCCUUGCUGGGGAGGUGGAGCAUGAGCGCAUGUGUUAGGACCCAAAAGAUGGUAUUCUAUGCCUGGGCAGGGCGAAGCCACAGGAAACUCUGGUGGUGGUCCCUAGCGGUUCUGAUGUGCAAAUCCGUCAUCUGACCUGGGUAUAGGGGUGAAAGACUAAUCGAACCAUCUAGUAGCUGGCUCCCUCCGAAGUUUCCCUCAGGAUAGCUGGCGCUCUUUUAUUUUACUCUAUUUACUCCUAUUCUAUUCUAUUCUAUUCUAUUCUAUGCUAUUCUAUUCUAAUCUAUUUUACCAUGGCAUCUGGAUUUAGCAGAGCCAUAGAACGAUGUCCCACCAAGAUUUUUCCGUGAGAGCCCUUCAUAUGCCCUAAUGAACUUGCCUGAGCAGGGUCGCGUCAUGCAGAGGCAUCUAUCACCUGAGGCAGAAGAUCUUGGCUGUGUCUUUAGCAGAUCGUGUUGAAGAAAACAUAGACGGAGGGAGCUGCCAUGUUUCCAAGCAGCCAUUGGGGAAAGGGCUGUGUGAACCUGAAUGUAUGUGUUCAAAACCGCAUAAGGAAAACUAACACACCAACACUUUGCUUUUUUCGCAACAGAUUUUCUUGUUCAAAUAUGGGCAAGCAUUGCUGUCCUGAAAGAUGAAUUUCUUACAAAAUUCUACAUUCAAAGUUGCCAGAUCACCCUAGCUUCCCGCAAUGGAUGUCACAGUUCUAUAAACAACUUUCAUUUCCACAGACAUUUCAUUACUUGCUGAGCUGUGUGUUGAAGGGCUCUUUACAAGUGCACACGCGCGCACAAACACACACACACAGCACACAUGACCUCAUAUUUUCUAAUAUAAAAACAACUAAGCAUGUGUGUUUCCACUUGGGAUUUCUGUAUCCCUGGUGUGGGAUAUUUUAGGAUGAGUAAGAAAUAAGUGAUCAGCGAAUGCCUCGCCUUUGAGACACAGUGGUUUGUACGACCAUGAAUGGUCCCCUACAUGACCACUGUUGUU